UGGCAACAAGAUGAGCACAUGAUCGGUGGGGGAGGGGAGCAACGGUUAGCGUCUGAUACCAGAGAAAAGUCUCUGUGAAUAAAACGGAUAUUAUCUCAAAUAUAAUCUCGAUUACAGAUUGCAGAUAACGAGGAUAUGAAGAACAUGAAGAUGGACUGGUUUCACAUGCAGAUGUUGCAGCAUCUGCAUCUGAUGUUGAGAAGACACUCAAUCUACCUGCCAAUCCUCAUCUGAUUUUGCUGGUCAACAUUUUUGACUGCAGUUGCAAGUGUUUGCUGUGCACUACAUCUUCAACCUGCAGUAUCAAGAGGCGGCUUGUUGCACGUUAGAGUUUUUUCAAAGAUGAUUCUAUGGAAUAAACCCAGAAAGAGGCUCAAAGACCUGCCUGUGGUCUCCAAGAAGACGGGGAAGGUGGUGAAUAAGAAGUCCACUACAGUCAAUCCAAAGGUUGCCACUCUACAAAAAAAUCGAAU